CCUCGUGGUCUAUAAGAGGGAUGCUUUGGGAUGGCGCACGUGGGAGAAGAGCAGAGGGUCAGAGGGUGGGAGAGACUGCAAGCCGCCGCCGCCAACUUGCCGCCGGCCGUGGCCGGCUAGACGUCUCGUUAGCCUCUUACCGAACCCCAGUCCCACGAUCUUCCGGGUAUGAUCCCGAAGACAGAGCACGAGUUGCUGUUCGACGAGCUCCCUCUAAAUCGAGACUCCACGGACGAAGCCUCGUUUACUUAGAAUAAUUUGUUGAUGCGCUCUCUUGCACACGGGGCUAGUUUCUACAGUUUCGAAGCGAUCAGUCAACGUUGACCCUAUAACUCCUACGUGACUUCCUAGAUUCCUUUUCUCCACACUAUAGACGACGGUUUUUCAGCAGUUCCUGACGACGGCUUCCAAACGAUCGAUAGCGUGUUCUACUCUUUUCCCGACAACACCAACUCGAUUUGACGCUCUGACUGAAACACCGUUCUUUACUACACAAGGUCAUAGACCGAAGUAGGAACCGUUUCUACCGAAACAGUCGUGUCCUAGGGCCGUUUAACCAAAAAGGAAAACGAGGACGUAUAAACCUCUUGUACUCAUAAUUGGAUCUAGUAGGAUUUGAGUCACCACUUUGUUGACAAGUUUUACGACAAUGUCUUCAACGACGGUACCAACCCCUCUUACAUUUUGAGUCUGCUCCAAAGUACAACAGGUGCUGACGUGUACCACAGCAAAGUAGAAUAGACGUAUGGACAGGAGUCGGUCCAAACCCGGCGUAACGACCUAACUAAUGUAAUCUUCGUCUUCUAUCGUCACGAAGGGAACUACGAGAGUUCUCUCAACCCAGCAGAUAGCGUUACGUAUAACAACGUCGUUUUGGUAAUAAAAAUAGUUUUCUUAACCAAAGACGACGUCGAAACCUUUUACUUGCACUGCACGAGGCUUGAGUCCGACUCUCAAGUCCAUUUGGGGUUUACCGGUAUCUCUUUUACCAGCUUCCGGUUAACUCCUUCAUAAAACUUCUACAGCACGAAAACCUCGUUUUUAUGCAACAAUUACUAUCGUGUUUGUAAUUCUGAGACGACUUACUAAACAGUUUUCUCCAACCAAGCUUUCAUUGUUAACCGUUAAAAUAGUCUUACCUUCAACCUCUUCCUUAACCCUCUGGACUCCUUUGUCGAUUUGGUCUUCGAUACCGAACACGACGCAUUUAACGCUCGACUCUACUUAGUUUACGAAACCAAGGCAAGAGGACUAUUAAUUGUACCCGAGAGUAGAAGAGAGGUUCCCCUACAAAAAAGACGUUUACAUAUUUACGGGUAGUUAGUUAAUCGAUCUACAACCGUUUGCUCAAUUUGUUUGUAUCACCGUUUAACUUAGUUUGACUUAUUACAUGUUGACUUUGCUUUCCGGUGCGCACGACUCUGGACGUUCCGAGGUUUACAACCCCAAACGAGCGAUAAACAGACUAACUUGACGCCACACUAGCUUAUUUCUAACGUUAUCGAGUUUCUUUUAAAACACGUACGACAAGGCCGCACAAUAUGGAAAACUAGAAGAACAACCUAACCUAUACGCAUAAACUGUGG
rnacentral:rRNA from 1 species